UGACCCAGAAGAGCCCAAAAGCAGCAACCCCCCACUUAUUAUCCUUCUAGAAAGUGGACAAACCCACCAAAAGGUACGACGUGCAAGUUGUGCGGUUUAAGUAGCGCCGAGUUUUAGUUUCUUCUUCCCAACGCUUUCUGAAGGUUCUCUUUUCCCCCACUAUCUUCUUUCUUUCUUCCACUAUAUGUGCAAUCAAGUGCUUGUCUUCAAUCUCAAUCUCAUCUACGCACUUCCUAUCAGGUCCAAUUAUCUUUGUCUUUCCAAGAUUUAAAUUGUUUAACUCUUUCGCCUUUCAUCUUUCAAAUUAUUAGACUCAGGUAAAUAUUUUGGUUGUGGAAGAUAUUGAGGUACAAAAUGAGUUGGUGGAGUAUUACAAGGACUUGGAUUCGAUUGACAAACAGGACCAGACGGUUGGUUCUGUCUUUUUGGUUCUCUUUGUUUAAUUCAGUUUUGUUUUACAUUUAAUAGAAUACGGAUGGAUUUAAGACAGUAAUUUUCAUCUGUGUUCUGUACUCAGGUCUUUUCUUAAAUUAUGGUAGUGGUUGUUGUCGUGCUGGAACAGUGAAAUAAUAAGAUAAGGUUGGGUAUGGU
rnacentral:lncRNA from 1 species